rfam:Picea glauca, whole genome shotgun sequence.
GGGUGCGGUCAUACCAACAUUAAUGCACCGGAUCCCAUCAGAAUUCUGCAGUUAAGCGCGCUUGGGCCAGAGUAUUACUGGGAUGGGUGACCUCCCGGGAAGUCCUGGUGUUACACUCU